UCCAUUGGGCUACCCGCAGAGAAUUCUGACAUGAACCGCCAGCCAUAUAUUGUACAGAAUCAUGUUCCGCCAACUCUUUAUAACUGAUAGAAUAAAUAAACAAACUUCUUUAUUGGAAACAAUUGUGGAAUUUUGCAAUACCAAUCGCGUCAUCUGGUUUCAAACCAUAUUUCUGAAGAAAUGCAUCAUCUACAGUAGCAAUGACGUCCAACAACGGGUUUCCACAACCUAGAAGAAGACCUUCUCUGAAAUCGGGCAAAUAUUCGGGGAAUUCGAUUAAAAAUGGGGAAAUUUGUUGAUAUUUCUUUUUAAACAACUAUUUUCGUAGUUAUUAGCAAAAGUCAUGCAAGAUAAACGAUUUUAUAUAUAAAACUAAAAUAUCCUUAAAAAAUUCUGUUUGUGCUAUUUUUUUGUGGAAUUGUGAAAUCUGGACGGGAAUGAUGUUGAUUUUCAAAGAAAUUGCCCAGAUUCCCCCACAUCCGAGAGCCUUAGCUAUUCCUAAGUUCAAUCAAAUUUUUUUGUUCUUAAUUUUUAUGCAAAAUCCUUACAUUUAAUAAUUUUUGAAUAACAACCUUACAGUCUGGUCGAAUAACUCAGUGUAAUAAUAAUAUCAGUGAUAAAGAUCACCAAUCAAAAAUGAUUUUGAUACCUUUAGUCAUACAUUAAUUUUAUUUGUCAUAAUAAAUAAUAAUAAAUGAAUUGAUAUCGUUUU